CAGAGCAGAUGCACGUUGUUCAGGUAGCUGACAGCUGUAGCAGCAUUAGUAGCAGUCGGCCCACAUCAUGGGAAAGUGUAAAUUUAACGAACUUUGGCUAUCCAACAAGGAUUUUUCUGACUGGCUGAAACCGGUACCCGGCAAUUUAUAUGAGGCACGGGGGAUUUUGUGCAAGAAAUGUUUUAAGCUCGGCACGAUAAGAAGAAAAGCAUUGGAGUCCCACAUGCAGAGCGCGAAACACAAAGCCUCAACAUCAAGCUAUCACCAAACGCCAGGUAUUUCCUAGUUCUGUUCCGCUCUCGUUUCUACCGUGCCUCGAACCCCAUCUCGGAUAUCAACAACCGGGACAGCAGCAACAAAUCUCCGGACAAUGUUAGGUUGCACGCCAACGAUGAAAGCUGAGUUACUGUGGUGUCUGAACACCGUGACAAGACACCAAUCAUAUAAGUCAAAUGAGGGAAUUGGAGACUUAUUCCGUGCCAUGUUCCCAGACUCGGAUAGUGCCCACUCCUUUGCAUGCGGUUCCGACAAGACGGCCUACAUCAGCAAGUUUGGAAUAGCCCCGUACAUUUCAGAGCAGCUUGUUGCGGAUGCUAACAAGGAUGCGCUUGUUUUAAUGUUUGAUGAGAGCUUCAACCGGACCACGAAAACCAAACAAAUGGAUUUGCAUGUCCGCUAUUGGUGCGAGGAUCACGUCCAGUCCAAAUAUGCGGGAUCGCAGUUCCUGUGACAUGGAACAGCCAAGGAUUUACUACGCCAUUUCAAAUGCCUGAAUGUAUGAAGAGGUGGAGAUCCCUCAGGGACCGAUAUCGGAGGGAGAGGGUGAAGGAGAAGGAAGCCCAGAGGAGUGGGGCAGGGGCCAGUGAGAAGCAGCAUGUAUGGAGGUACAUGGGGGUGAUGGGCUUCCUAGCGCCAUUCCUCCAAAAUAGAGGGACCACCUCCAACCUCCAGCAUCGGAACCCAUCCCCGGUGUCGGUGAUUGCGGUGACAGAGGAGCAUGGACGAGGGUCACAUGAAGAGGCAGGUGCGCUGUCACCCGUAGCACCAGCAGCCGAUAAAGCAGCCACAGCCCCGGCCCCAGCCCCAGCCCCGGCCACGGCCCCAGCCACGGGCCCAGCCCCAGCCCCAGCCCCAGCCCCAGCCACGGCCCCAGCAGCGGACGGUGGACCUGUGGGUAGGAGCCAGUGGCGUGGCCCCCAGAAGAGGGCAGGGGUAGGAAGCGACAUAGGACUGAGAUGUCCUCUUUUGAGCAGGGCCUCUUUUAUGUCACUCCUCCCCGCCAUGAGGAGGCUCUCCAGUCCAAGUAGAGCCAUGGUGCGGUACGAGGUGUACCAAAUCGUUUCAAGGGCGGAUAUGGCAGCGCUACAGAAUAGGGAGGUUCGGGAGAAUGACAGUGAGUGAGUGAGUGACUGAGUGUGUGAGGUUAUGUUUGUUACAUUGUUAAGUUAUGGUGUUUGUCGUUUUGUUGUUCUGUUCUUUGUGUUCUUAAUUAAAAAAAAUACUUUCAUUGUGAUGUGUUCCUUUUAUAAUACAUUAUAAUUUGGAAGUGGAAUUAUGUUAGAUUAAUAUUAGCAUAUUAAUAAAUUAUUCAGUACACUUGCAGGAAGACAAUAGGGAUUCUUGAAAGCUGGCUCAAGUCAUCUUUGAAAAAACAAAACCAGAUCAUUAACAAUCAUUAUUACAGUUACUUUUAAAACUUAACAUUGAGCAAAUGUACAAUGUAUACGCAGGUAUAGGAAGGUGCAGGUGUAGUUGGAAUAUGCUUCUUUUCUUAAGAUAUGGGUAGCUCUUAAAAGAGCUGUUUGGUUGAAGAGCCUUUGUGUUGCUAGGCUCUUGGCUGCCAUGGCACUGCACCCUCCUCGUUGAAGAACGCACAGUAGGCCUCCCGCAUCUGGAUGGUCAGUCUGGUGGCGUUGUUGGAGCCCAUCCUGGGUGCAUCACGCAGGGCUUCAGGAUCAGUCGAUGGGAUUAUUAUUAUUCUCCCCUGCAGCUUCUUCCUCUCAAGAAAGUUGUGCAGCACACAGGUGGCCCUCACACACACCUCAGCUACCACAGGACUGGUGCCAAUCACGCGCCGGUACAUGCGCCACCUAGAUGCCAAGAUUCCGAAGGCACAUUCCACUACCGGACGAGCCCGGCUGAGGCGGUAGUUGAACACUCGCUUCUCCAGAGUGUGAUGUUGUCCAGGGAAUGGCCGCAGCAGGUGGGUCAUGAGUGGGAACGCCUCAUCCCCCACAAACACGUGAGGAAGUGGCCCCCGCUGCUCUGCGCCGGAGAUGACACGGGCGGGAGGGAGGUCAAGGGUGCCAUCGCGAAGAGCUUCCCCAAACGCGGAGUUACGGAGGGAGCCGCUGUCACUCGUCCUGCCGUAGCCUCCAAGGCCCAAUCUCAUUCCUUUGCUACAUAGAAAAUCUCAGCCCUAGCCCUCGCUGUUGCGCGUUCACGCGCCGUGGAGGCAUGUCCCAAUACUGUUUAAAUGUAGAUUAAGGGGUAAGGGGGAGGGCUAACAUCCCCUCAAAAUUGAGAUUUUCGAUGGGCACCCUCAAAGCGCUUCAGUUCUGACUUGCUCCCACAAUACCUCGCGAGAAAACGGAAAAUCAAGAAAUAUCCUAGACAAGAUGGAGGGCGAAAAGAUGCGACAGGAUUGGAAAAACACAAAUGUAAGUGUUUUCUCUGUAAUUAACUAUUAAUUAUUUUAUUGAUUAUACUCUGCAGCCCGGCCGCGGUCUUCGAAGCCCGGCCGCGGACUCUCGGAAGAUCGCG
rnacentral:lncRNA from 1 species